rnacentral:hammerhead_ribozyme from 1 species
AUCCAGCUAACGAGUCCCAAAUAGGACGAAAUGCGCUUUAUCCUGGAU